UUCAAGUUGGUGCAACUUUUG
rnacentral:siRNA from 1 species